ensembl:lncRNA
UAUAUAUAUAGUUAUAUAGCUCUAUCUAUAUAUCUGUAUGUAUUGUUUUUCUGUACCUUACCAUAUUGUACAUAUGCAGAUGAUGUGAACAGUGUCUUUAUUGUUUGAUUUAUGGAUGUCUUUACGUUCUACCUCUCCAGUCCCCCUUCUGUCUGUCAAUCAAUAUUGUUGUUGAUUUUAUGUUUAUUAUUGUUAUUAUUCUAUUGUUGUGGAAACAUUCCAGUGAAGGAAUUCCUGUUUAUUUGAAUGUAAAAAUAAUAUAAUUUGAAUGCAGGAAGCAGAAAGGGUUGAACUUUAUACUCUUAACUGUAUACAAGGGGGAACGAUAAUGUUUUUCACUCUGUGAUCUCAUCAUUUAUGACCAAAUACAUGUUUACUACUAUGCCACCAGGAAUUCGUUUCUGAAGAAAAUAGAAUAAACAAUGUGAUUAUCAUUAUAAAUUAAUGUGAUUAUCAUUAUAAAUUAAUGUGAUUAUCAUUAUAAAUUAAUGUGAAAUCAAACAUAUUUUUUGAUUUUUUAAAAUUAUUUUUUUUAGCUUACAGCAGUGGAGAAAUGUAGCCAACAAAAUUAUACUUGAAUCUAUUUAGUAAAUCUAAUUCUUAAAUGCAUUACUAUACUAGUCGGGAAAAAAUACUUGAUUUUAGAAUUUCGUUGUUAUUAGAAUGUUUUUUCCCCCAAGGUGGCAGUGCCCAAGGUGUCAGUGCCCAAGGUGUCAGUGCCCAAGGUGUCAGUGCCCAAGGUGUCAGUGCCCAAGGUGUCAGUGCCCAAGGUGUCAGUAGUAACAACUAUCUCUGUCUUACAGUGUGAGAGCCGACCUGGUUCGGUCCUAUUCUGUAGAGGUGAGGUAGCUAGGGAAGUCCUCCUAUAGGAGACCUAGGACCACCCUGCCAUGACCAGAGAGACAGAGUCUGCAUCCCAAAAUGGCACCCUAUUUCCUAUAUAGUGCACUCGUCCCCAUAGGCCCUAGUCAAAAGUAGUGCACUGUAAAUGGAAUAGUGUGCCAUUUGGGAUGGAGCUUAUUGAUCUCAAAAUGUUAUUUUAUUCAUGUUGUUUUUUUCCUCAAAACAUUCCAAUCGCUUAACUCGUCUCGAAUGAUGUCAUCAUUGUGAUUGCAAAUGGCUGUUGUGAUUGUUGACAAUUGUUAUUGUUUUCUCGAUUUAAAUUUUUAUAAUGUUUUACCCUUUUUCUCAUGAUUUCUUGUUACGGUUUAAAUCUUCAAACAUGUUGAAUUAAUGAUGUCAUUUCCGUUUCGUUUGAUCAGUUGUGAAUUUGCACUUACCACUUCGAUCUGCUUGUGAGUGUACAGUAGAGUAUGUGGUGUGUGUGUGUCUGACUGUGUCGUAAUGCUGUAGUUUUCAGUCGGUUAGUGUGACCUCCGUAUGGCAACAGGUAGCCUAGUGGUUAAGAGUGUUUGGGCCAGUGACUGUGUCGUAAUGCUGUAGUUUUCAGUCGGUUAGUGUGACCUCCGUAUGGCAACAGGUAGCCUAGUGGUUAAGAGUGUUUGGGCCAGUAACCAAAAGGUUAUUGGUUCGAAUCCCUGAGCCGACUAGGGGAAAAACAUAUGUUGACGUUUCUUUGAGCGAAGCACUUAACCCUAACUGCUCUGGAUAAGAGCGUCUGCGAAAUGACUAACAUGUAUAUUUCUGUCUGAUUGGAUAAGAUGCUAAAUGACUAAUGUGUAUAUUUCUGUCUGAUUGGAACACCAAAAUAAGACAUUUUAGAGUAUAUAUAUAUAUAUAUAUAUACACUCUUCUUUUUUUUAAAGCACAAAGGAAUAUUAGGCACAAGAUCACAUCAAAACUCACUAUGAUACUAGUCAUACAAAGAUAAUAUCCUAUCACUGAAACACUAGACAACACAAGGCAAUGUGGGGGAGAGAGAGGAGAGAAACAGAGAGAGGGGGGGAGAGAGGUAAGAAACAGAGAGAGAAGGGAAAAGAUAAUAUCCUAUCACUGAAACACUAGACAACUCAAGGCAAUGUGGGGGAGAGAGAGGAGAGAAACAGAGAGAGAGGUAAGAAACAGAGAGAGAAGGGAAAAGAUAAUAUCCUAUCACUGAAACACUAGACAACUCAAGGCAAUGUGGGGGAGAGAGAGGAGAGAAACAGAGAGAGAGGUGAGAAACAGAGAGAGAAGGGAAAAGAUAAUAUCCUCUCACUGAAACACUAGACAACACAAGGCAAUGAGCUCUUGGUGUUGGAACAGUGUCAUCUUGGAAUGAGAAAUGCAUCAUUUUGAACACGGGGUAUCACACCAUGUAUUUACCAGUAGUAACUCUCUAAGACAGAGUCAGCUCUACAGAGACACCCGUAAGGCCUGGGGGCUGCUAUCACACCAUGUGUACCAGUAGUAACUCUCUAAGACAGAGUCAGCUCUACAGAGACACCCGUAAGGCCUGGGGGCUGCUAUCACACCAUGUGUACCAGUAGUAACUCUCUAAGACAGAGUCAGCUCUACAGAGACACCCGUAAGGCCUGGGGGCUGCUAUCACACCAUGUGUACCAGUAGUAACUCUCUAAGACAGAGUCAGCUCUACAGAGACACCCGUAAGGCCUGGGGGCUGUGAGACCUCUCUCUGUUCUCUGUAUUCCUCCAAGAGGAAAUGCUGUUGUGCUUUAAAGGACUUUGAGGGCUCCAUCCAAUCCGUACCGCGGUAGUUCAGCGCUAUGCUGGGAUUGAAAUGUGAUGGUUUACCAUGAAUGCAUUAUUUCACGAAUUAGGGAACAUUGCCUUUUUAAAUUUCAAUUGCGCUAUAGUGCUGAAUUUACGCAAUACAGUUACAAUGCAUCAUCCCUAAAUAUAACAUGACAAUGGACUGACAGAGGGGGUGUCCCUACACAACGCCCCACACCCCCACUAAUGUCAGUCCCUACACAACGCCCCACACCCCCUAUAAUGUCAGUCCCUCUAAUGUCAGUCCCUACACCACACCCCCUCUGUCAGUCCCCACACCCCCUCUGUCAGUCCCUACACAACGCCCCACACCCCCACUAAUGUCAGUCCCUACACAACGCCCCACACCCCCUAUAAUGUCAGUCCCUCUAAUGUCAGUCCCUACACCACACCCCCUCUGUCAGUCCCCACACCCCCUCUGUCAGUCCCUACACAACGCCCCACACCCCCACUAAUGUCAGUCCCUACACAACGCCCCACACCCCCUCUAAUGUCAGUCCCUCUAAUGUCAGUCCUUACACCACACCCCCUCUGUCAGUCCCCACACCCCUCUGUCAGUCCCUACACCCCCUCUGUCAGUCCCUACACCCCCUCUGUCAGUCCCUACACCCCCUCUGUCAGUCCCCACACCCCCUCUGUCAGUCCCUAAACCCCCUCUGUCAGUCCCUACACCCCCUGUCAGUCCCUACACCCCCUCUGUCAGUCCCUACACCCCUCUGUCAGUCCCUACACCCCUGUCAGUCCCUACACCACACCCCCUCUGUCAGUCCCUACACCCCCUCUGUCAGUCCCUACACCCCCUCUGUCAGUCCCCACACCCCCUCUGUCAGUCCCUACACCCCAUAAGAAGAUGAAGAAAAUGAAAAACACAAAUAAGAUGAUAUUGUAUUCCCUGUUAUUCACUGUUUGCUGUUUAAUAAAAUGAGAUGUCCUA